AUUAUAAACGCUUGAACGGCGAGCAAAGACAUUUGUUGUUGGAUUACGAUCUAUCGGGAAGUAGAAUAAUGCUUAGAGUUUUAAUUUAACUUGAUGAGCUGUGGACCAGCUGUCUCUAAUGUCUAUGAGGAACUGUUGAGCCUUAAUAAAUCGGACGUAAUUAGUUAGAAGGAAAGAUGCAUGUAGUGACAGUGUAAACUUGUUUUAUGGUAUGGAGGACAGUUCAAUUCAACACAUAAUUAGCCACGGAUCGCAAUUUCUGUUCUUGAAAUUGAAGGAGCGAGCAGAGAAUGCUAGAGAUGGACCGGGUUCAAUUACUAGAGUCGGAAGAAAAGCAGCAAGAUGAAGGGAAUAUUGAUGACACUUUCGAUUUCAAGUGGCGGUGCCUCGUAGCCCUGAUUUCCAUACUAUUCUUUUUGAUGUCGUUCGAUUGUGACCUUGUUUUAGCCAGUGCGUAUUUCGAGAGAGAAAUGUACCAUGAGUUCAGCUUGACAAUAUCCAUUACCGUCACUGCUAGUUUGGUGAUAGGGAGCUUGAGUACAUUUUGGAUCAUUCAGAAUUCCUCGACAAAGAAAUCCCCACCAGGAAUUAGAUAUGUUCUGUGUAUUUUCACCAGGUUUCCAAUGUCAGGAUUGGCUAGAUUUCCUGUACUGCAUGUCCGUCAUUUCGUCCUUUGUUAUUGUUGUCUGGUCUGUGACAACUUAUACCUCAUCGUCCGACAGAGACCGUGCACUAGCCGCUGUACCUGACAACAACAAAGGCGACAGCAACACAACAAAGGGCCUCGCCACCACGCUACUGGACAUCUUCAGCAACCGAACCUUUCUCAUCUUGUUUCUCCUUAGCAAUGUGAUCUUUGUAGCCACCUUUCUGGUUUUUAGUUGGACCACAAGUCACAGUGAUCAUUAUAAUUAAAUUUUUAUGAUAUUUUUUACAAAUACAAUGUACUAGUAUUAUAAUUAUAUUUUUUUAAGAAUGAGUGUCUCAAUGUUUUCUACAAGGAUAGAUGUGUAAUCUGUAUACAUGUAUUAUGAUGUGCUGAAAAAUCCAACAGGGCCUGGUGCUGAAAAUAAAAUGUUUCAUGUC
rnacentral:misc_RNA from 1 species